rnacentral:rRNA from 1 species
AGUGAACGCUGGCGGUAUGCCUAACACAUGCAAGUCGAACGGCAGCACCGUACUAGCUUGCUAUUACGGGUGGCGAGUGGCGGACGGGUGAGGAAUACAUCGGAAUCUACUUUUUCGUGGGGGAUAACGUCGGGAAACUUACGCUAAUACCGCAUACGACCUACGGGUGAAAGCAGGGGAUCUUCGGACCUUGCGCGAUUUAAUGAGCCGAUGUCUGAUUAGCUAGUUGGCGGGGUAACGGCCCACCAAGGCGACGAUCCGUAGCUGGUCUGAGGGGAUGAAGCGCGACACAGAGAGUGAGACACGGCCUAGAGUCCGAGGUGAGGCAGCAGUGGGGAAUAUUGGAAAAUGGGCGGAAGACUGAACCAUGCAUACAGCGUUGGUGAAGAAGGCCUUCGGGGUGUAAAGCCCUUUUGUGGGGAAAGAAAAGCAGCAGGUUAAUACCCGGCUGUUCUGACGGUACCCAAAUAAUAAGCACCGGCUAACUUCGUG